AUAAAAAUUUCGAAGGCAAGCCGUGCCUAUUAUCUGGAUGGACAAAUACAACAAAUGGAGACUUGCAACAAACUGAAUUGACAGUUGUUAAGCAAAAAGAAUGCGCGAAAAGUCACUGGGAACUGACAGAAAGCCAUAUCUGCGCUACAGCUCAAAACAGAACGAAUGAAUACAAGGACGAUCUUGGUGCACCUUUGAUCGCUAAUGGUGUUCAAAUUGGAAUCGUUUCCUUCGCCUGUUCCUGUACUCUUGGACAGCCAGAUGUUUACACAAGAGUGCCCAGUUUCCUGUCUUGGAUCAAAACAAAUUUGAAGAAUUAAGAGAUAUUUCAUUUGUUUAUUACCAUUAGGUGUUACGAAAUUUA